AGCGAACGUUAGCGGCGGGCCUAACACAUGCAAGUCGAACGCGAAAGGUCUUCGGACUGAGUAGAGUGGCGCACGGGUGAGUAACGCGUAGGUAAUCUACCCUUUGGCGGGGGAUAACGUUCCGAAAGGAGCGCUAAUACCGCAUAAGACCACGGAGUCUCCGGACGCUGUGGGAAAAGGUGGCCUCUUCUUGAAAGCUACCACCGAAGGAUGAGCCUGCGUCCCAUCAGCUAGUUGGUAAGGUAAUGGCUUACCAAGGCGAAGACGGGUAGCUGGUUUGAGAGAAUGAUCAGCCACACUGGCACUGGAACACGGGCCAGACUCCUACGGGAGGCAGCAGUGAGGAAUAUUGGGCAAUGGGCGAAAGCCUGACCCAGCCACGCCGCGUGAGUGAUGAAGGCCCUCGGGUCGUAAAGCUCUGUGGAGAGGGACGAAAACCCUGGUUUCAAAUAGGCUCCAGGCUUGACGGUACCUCUUUAGCAAGCACCGGCUAACUCUGUGCCAGCAGCCG
rnacentral:rRNA from 1 species